GUGUUGGCUUAGGCAGUACAUAUACUAAAAUUGCAACAAUUCAGAGAACAAUAGUGGCCCCUGUGCAAGGAUGACACACAAAUUCAUGAAGCAUUCCAUAUUUUU